GAGUUUGAUCCUGGCUCAGGAUGAACGCUGGCGGCGUGCUUAACACAUGCAAGUCGAACGAAGCUGCUUAACUGAUCUUCUUCGGAAUUGACGUUUUGUAGACUGAGUGGCGGACGGGUGAGUAACGCGUGGGUAACCUGCCCUGUACAGGGGGAUAACAGUCAGAAAUGACUGCUAAUACCGCAUAAGACCACAGCACCGCAUGGUGCAGGGGUAAAAACUCCGGUGGUACAGGAUGGACCCGCGUCUGAUUAGCUGGUUGGUGAGGUAACGGCCCACCAAGGCGACGAUCGGUAGCCGGACUGAGAGGUUGAACGGCCACAUUGGGACUGAGACACGGCCCAGACUCCUACGGGAGGCAGCAGUGGGGAAUAUUGCACAAUGGGGGAAACCCUGAUGCAGCGACGCCGCGUGGAGGAAGAAGGUCUUCGGAUUGUAAACUCCUGUUGUUGAGGAAGAUAAUGACGGUACUCAACAAGGAAGUGACGGCUAACUACGUGCCAGCCGCCGCGGUAAUAC
rnacentral:rRNA from 1 species